GUGCCACUCGAGGUCGGGCGCCACGCGCAGGAUGUACUGGUCGUGGAUCUGAUUCCCGCAGCCCACGCACAAAGAGACCAGGCGUUUCUCUGCACACCAAACACAUACAGGAACAUUCUGGACUGGGUGAUGCACUUGACUGAGAUGAGGAGGCUGUAGAGCUGCACAAGCUGAGACGCAGAGCAGAAAUACAGGAGACACACACGCCCUCUUGUGUUGGCAAAACGGCCCAGUGGAACCAACCAGCAAACAAAGGCAAGCUGAGGUGCCUAAGCUACAGCUGGGAGCAUGCUCAAUACUCAUCUCUGCAUUCUUCACUUGCCUCUUUUUCAUUUUGCACCAUUUCAUAGUUGAACAUACAGAUUUGCUAUUUCAUGUUUUCUCUGGGAUUGUCUUGACAAUACACAGCACUGAAGACUCUCAUGUUGAAGGCCUAGCACUUGUAUAAUGUGUAUGUGGGGUGUACUUAUUUUAGUGAGUGAUUGAUGGUUCAUAUGAGCUGUGUCCAUUAAAUGCAGAUGCAGA